CCCUUAGAUGUUCUGGGCCGCACGCGCGCUACACUGAUGCAUUCAACGAGUCUAAAACCUGCUCUGAUAGGGGUGGGUAAUCUUUUGAAUGUGCAUCGUGAUUGGGAUAGAUGAUUGCAAUUUUUCAUCUUCAACGAGGAAUGCCUAGUAAACGCAAGUCAUCAGCUUGCAUUGGUUACGUCCCCGCCCUUUGUACACACCGCCCGUCGCUCCUACCGAUUGAAUGAUCCGAUGAAUAUCAUGGAUUGAGGAUGCAGGUAGGUUCGCCUAUCUUCAUCUUCGAGAAGUGAAGUAAAUCUUAUCAUUUAGAGGAAGGAGAAGUCGUAACA
rnacentral:rRNA from 1 species